rnacentral:rRNA from 1 species
AUUGAACGCUGGCGGCAGGCCUAACACAUGCAAGUCGAGCGGAUGAAGGGAGCUUGCUCCUGGAUUCAGCGGCGGACGGGUGAGUAAUGCCUAGGAAUCUGCCUGGUAGUGGGGGAUAACGUCCGGAAACGGGCGCUAAUACCGCAUACGUCCUGAGGGAGAAAGUGGGGGAUCUUCGGACCUCACGCUAUCAGAUGAGCCUAGGUCGGAUUAGCUAGUUGGUGGGGUAAAGGCCUACCAAGGCGACGAUCCGUAACUGGUCUGAGAGGAUGAUCAGUCACACUGGAACUGAGUCACGUUCCAGACUCCUACGGGAGGCAGCAGUGGGGAAUAUUGGACAAUGGGCGAAAGCCUGAUCCAGCCAUGCCGCGUGUGUGAAGAAGGUCUUCGGAUUGUAAAGCACUUUAAGUUGGGAGGAAGGGCAGUAAGUUAAUACCUUGCUGUUUUGACGUUACCAACAGAAUAAGCACCGGCUAACUUCGUG